rnacentral:misc_RNA from 1 species
GCCGAUAAGCUCUGCCCCAAAAACAUCGUUGUCCUUUACAUGAAACUCGACUCUGCUAACUGAAUGAGCAACUUGAACAUAGAAGUGUUCAUCCCAUUUAGGGUUCUCCGAGUUGGCAAUGACUCGAGUUUGUGCCACCGUUGCUCCUGACAGACAAACUGAAACGUAUGGAUCACUAGUGAUGAUCUUUCUCAUGUCCGGGUGUGGUGGUUCCGACUUCCCACAAUCAUUGCUGCAAGCUCCAUACCCAGUAAAGCAUUUUCGCAUCCUUUCUGUCAUGAGAUCCAUAUUGGGGAGACAUUUUGCUUCAAUUAUUUGUAUGUCCAAGUCUCCAUGCAACAACAUACUAACCCCAGAUUCAGCUGAGUGCUUCCCCAUUUUAUCACAGUAUAAAAAAGAUCGACCAGACAAUAAAAUGAACCAGAAGCUAAACUUUCAUUAUUCUGGAGAAAACAUCCUUUGCCAACCAAAUCAUAC